rnacentral:rRNA from 1 species
AGAGUUUGAUCCUGGCUCAGAUUGAACGCUGGCGGCAUGCCUUACACAUGCAAGUCGAACGGCAGCACGGGAGCAAUCCUGGUGGCGAGUGGCGAACGGGUGAGUAAUGUAUCGGAACGUACCUUUCAGUGGGGGAUAACGUAGCGAAAGUUACGCUAAUACCGCAUAUUCUGUGAGCAGGAAAGCAGGGGAUCGCAAGACCUUGCGCUGAUUGAGCGGCCGAUAUCAGAUUAGCUAGUUGGUGAGGUAAAGGCUCACCAAGGCGACGAUCUGUAGCGGGUCUGAGAGGAUGAUCCGCCACACUGGAACUGAGACACGGUCCAGACUCCUACGGGAGGCAGCAGUGGGGAAUUUUGGACAAUGGGGGCAACCCUGAUCCAGCCAUGCCGCGUGAGUGAAGAAGGCCUUCGGGUUGUAAAGCUCUUUCAGCCGGGAAGAAAUCACAUGGGUUAAUA